rnacentral:tRNA from 1 species
GGUGGCUCAGUGGUAGAGUGCUUGCCUUGCAUGUAGGAGGCCCUGGGUUCGAUUCCUCAGCACCA